rnacentral:rRNA from 1 species
AGGAUGAACGCUGGCGGCGUGCCUAACACAUGCAAGUCGAACGUCCUGUCUCGCAAGAGGCAGGGAGUGGCGGACGGGUGAGUACCACGUGGGUGAUCUACCGUGAGGUGAGGAAUACCGGCGAGAAAUCGCCGACAAGACCGCAUAGCCUCGGUGCAAGCCGAGGAAAGCGUUUCUCGAGAGAGGGAGCGCCACACGAGGAGCCUGCGCCCGAUUAGCUAGCUGGUGGAGUAACGGUUCACCAGGGCGACGAUCCGGUAGC